rnacentral:lncRNA from 1 species
AUGUGUGUAUAAAUCACCAACAGGAUUCUGACCUGAAAGUCCUGGUGCUCCAACGCUGGCUUCACUUCACCAUCGUAAUGGAGAAUGCUGAAACAUGGCUUGAGGAAACUUUGGUCAAAAUCCCUUGAUUUCCCAGGGCUUCAUUUGUAAAACAGCAGCAACCUUCUGUCUUCUAAAAGAGAGACAUUAACUCCUCUUUGGCUGCCACUGGAUAAUAUACAAAGAACACUAGCCAGGAGGGAGCAGUAUAGAGAACACUUCCUGCCUAGGAGCUGAGCAGAUCCAACCCCCCUUGUGCAAUAUUCCCUUGAUUACUAUACCUUAACGCGAAGGUCACCUGACAAUCGGAAGUCAUUGGAGAGAUAUAAAUGCAGGAAGUGCUGGAGUGCCAGAGUGAAGUCCACCACCGAGCGGUUGAACUCAGCGAUACGGAGUCCAUUCAACGUCUACAAUUCCAUGAUUCUAUUAAAGUUGAGAAACCUGUCAAAAAAUAAACAAAAAUAAAUGCAAACCCACAGUGUUAUCUUAACUCA